rnacentral:lncRNA from 1 species
AAAUCAUAAAAAAUAACAUAUUACUUUCAGUACAUGUGGUAAAAAUUUAGUGGUUGAUUUUCGAAAUUUCAAGUUUAAAUUAUUUUUUAGUUAAAUUUAUUUUUUAAAAAAAUAAACGAACCGUUAACAUGUUAUCUUUUUCUAAAAAAAAUAUCAUGAAAAAUAAUCUUUCAUAAAAAAUAUUUCGGUGAAAAAAUGGUUUAUGAUUUAUAGCGUUUGAUUUGUAAGAAAAGAAAUAAUUUUUUUUAUCAAUAUUUGUUUGGUUGGAAGAAAAAAAAACACUCGUUCCGUUUGGUGAAAAAAUGAAUAAAAAAAUAUUUAC